AUUGAACGCUGGCGGCAGGCCUAACACAUGCAAGUCGAGCGGAGCGGCGGACGGGUGAGUAAUGCCUAGGAAUAUGCCUGGUAGUGGGGGAUAACGUCCGGAAACGGGAGCUAAUACCGCAUACUAUCAGAUGAGCCUAGGUCGGAUUAGAGAUUUGGUGGGGGAAAGGCCUACCAAGGCGACGAUCCGUAGCUGGGCUGAGAGGAUGAUCGGUCACACUGGAACUGAGACACGGUCCAUACUCCUACGGUAGGCCGCAGUGGGGAAUAUUGGACAAUGGGCGCAAGCCUGAUCCAGCCAUGCCGCGUGUGUGAAGAAGGUCUUCGGAUUGUAAAGCACUUUCAGUUGGGAGGCGUUACCAACAGAAUAAGCACCGGCUAACUUCGUGCCAGCAGCCGCGGUAAUUC
rnacentral:rRNA from 1 species